ensembl:lncRNA
CUUCAAGCACUGCAGCCCAAUUAUGCCACAUGUUGUGCAUAGCCUGAAAAGAAUAUUGGUGCAGAAAUAGGAUCCAUAUGGGCAGGUCCUUACUGGGGAGCACAUCCUGCUGAAGAACGGCCUUGGGUAUCUGACUGCGUGGAUCAGCUUAACAGGAUUCAGGCCUUGACCCUUAAUUUAUAGUGUUGAGCAACUCUCAAGAAGAGGGAAUGAUCUGUAGGAGGUACAGCAUGAAGUGGACGGAGCAGUGACAUACAUUUCCCCUCCAAGGAGCAAGGCUUGCUGCCUUUGCUUUGGUGUAAGGCUGCAUGCUCCAGGAAUAAGCAAGAAUAUCAAGGUCUGGCCUGGAUUCCUCCCUCGAGGAAAGAGACAGAUGAUAUCAUUGUUGGAGUUGUUUGGACAUCACAAAGGCAGGACAAAAGAACGAGAGCCCAAAUGCAGCCAGCCAGCUGAGAGCACACUGCUGCUCCUGCAAAGCUCUUCAAGGAGAAAUGCUGACACAGCCAUUUCCGGCACUAUUUGCUGCUGCAAGGAAUACUUAAGACAGCAUUCAACACCAUCACCCUCUGUGGAAGGGAGCUUGAAAGCAGUGUCAGGAUGGGCGUUCACAGUUCAAGACACUGAAAAGCACAGAUUUCCAAGAUCUUGGUCUAGGAAGAAAAUUCAACAUCUGGGUAAAGUGCUGGGUCUGUGUUUGUUUUGCUGCCUUAGUAUUGUAUUGCACUCCCCAGGUGGCUUUCAGGAGAUACUGUGACAAAAUCUUUCCAACCAAUUCUGAAGUCUGCCUUUUUUGAUAUGUCCUCCCACCGUUUUAAUUAUGGUUUGGAGAACCCCUCUGGAUUCCAUUCCAUGAAAUAUUACAUGUGCUGUUCUUUUCUACUUCAUUUAUUUUCCCCUUCCCAAAUGCAGCCCAACAGUCCUUCAUACUUUCUGUCUACAAAGCUGCGUUCUUCUUUCAGUUCCAGGACACAUUGGUCAUUGCUUCUAUCCUUAC